GACGAACGCUGGCGGCGUGCCUAAUACAUGCAAGUAGAACGCUGAAGGAGGGAGCUUGCUUCCUUUGGGCGUCGACCGGCGCACGGGUGAGUAACGCGUAUCCAACCUUCCCGCAAGUAAGGGAUAACCCGUAGAAAUGCGGCCUAAUACCUUAUGUUUUCCUUAGAGGGCAUCUGAUGAGGAACAAAGAUUCGUCGCUUGCGGAUGGGGAUGCGUCUGAUUAGUUAGUCGGCGGGGUAACGGCCCACCGAGACGACGAUCAGUAGGGGUUCUGAGAGGAAAGUCCCCCACAUUGGAACUGAGACACGGUCCAAACUCCUACGGGAGGCAGCAGUGAGGAAUAUUGGUCAAUGGGCGAGAGCCUGAACCAGCCAAGUAGCGUGCAGGACGACGGCCCUAUGGGUUGUAAACUGCUUUUAUAUGGGGAUAAAGUGAGUUACGUGUAGCUUAUUGCAGGUACCAUAUGAAUAAGGACCGGCUAAUUCCGUG
rnacentral:rRNA from 1 species